rnacentral:rRNA from 1 species
GACGAAUGCUGGCGGCGUGCUUAACACAUGCAAGUCGAACGGAAAGGCCCUGCUUGCAGGGUACUCGAGUGGCGAACGGGUGAGUAACACGUGGGUGAUCUGCCCUGCACUUCGGGAUAAGCCUGGGAAACUGGGUCUAAUACCGGAUAGGAGCCAUUUUUAGUGUGAUGGUUGGAAAGUUUUUUCGGUGUAGGAUGAGCUCGCGGCCCAUCAGCUUGUUGGUGGGGUAAUGGCCUACCAAGGCGGCGACGGGUAGCCGGCCUGAGAGGGUGGACGGCCACAUUGGGACUGAGAUACGGCCCAGACUCCUACGGGAGGCAGCAGUGGGGAAUAUUGCACAAUGGGCGCAAGCCUGAUGCAGCGACGCCGCGUGGGGGAUGACGGCCUUCGGGUUGUAAACUCCUUUCGCUAGGGACGAAGCUUUUGUGACGGUACCUAGAGAAGAAGCACCGGCUAACUACGUG